rnacentral:rRNA from 1 species
GACGAGGGAUCCUAGCGCUGCUCGGAAUCAUUGGGCGUAAAGCGGGUGUAGGUGGCUUUGUAAGUCGGGUGUGAAAGCCCAGGGCUCAACCCUGGAAGUGCAUUCGAUACUGCGAAGCUUGAGUGCGAGAGAGGUUAAUAGAAUACCUGGUGUAGUGGUGAAAUACGUAGAUAUCAGGUGGAACACCGGAGGCGAAGGCGGUUAACUGGCUCGACACUGACACUGAGACCCGAAAGUGCGGGGAUCAAACAGG